AACCAUUUAUACUGAAGGUUAAAUGUGGUAUCAUUGUUAUUGUGUGUGAAGAAAACCAUUUGUAUAAUGUAGGUUUUAUAAUGUGUGUAUCAUUGUUAUUGUGUGUGAAGA
rnacentral:lncRNA from 1 species